rnacentral:tRNA from 1 species
UGGGUUGUAGCUCAGUGGUAGAGUACUUGCCUUGCAUGCAUGAGGCACUGGGUUCAAUCAUCAGCACCCCAU